AUUGAACGCUGGCGGCAUGCCUUACACAUGCAAGUCGAACGGCAGCACGGGAGCAAUCCUGGUGGCGAGUGGCGAACGGGUGAGUAAUAUAUCGGAACGUGCCUAGUCGUGGGGGAUAACGCAGCGAAAGCUGUGCUAAUACCGCAUACGAUCUACGGAUGAAAGCGGGGGAUCGCAAGACCUCGCGCGAUUGGAGCGGCCGAUAUCAGAUUAGCUAGUUGGUGAGGUAAAGGCUCACCAAGGCGACGAUCUGUAGCUGGUCUGAGAGGACGACCAGCCACACUGGAACUGAGACACGGUCCAGACUCCUACGGGAGGCAGCAGUGGGGAAUUUUGGACAAUGGGCGAAAGCCUGAUCCAGCAAUGCCGCGUGCAGGAUGAAGGCCUUCGGGUUGUAAACUGCUUUUGUACGGAACGAAACGGUGAGCUCUAAUACAGUUUGCUAAUGACGGUACCGUAAGAAUAAGCACCGGCUAACUACGUGCCAGCCGCCGCAGUAA
rnacentral:rRNA from 1 species